rnacentral:rRNA from 1 species
AGCAGCCGCGGUAAUUCCAGCUCCAAUAGCGUAUAUUAAAGUUGUUGCAGUUAAAAAGCUCGUAGUUGAACUUCGGGAUCAAUUAGUUGGUCAUGCCUUGGUAUGUACUGAUUUUAUUGGUUCUCACCUUCUAAGGAACUAUAAUGUCAUUUAUUUGAUGUUAUAGGGAAUUAGGACUGUUACCUUGAAAAAUUAGAGUGUUUGAAGCAGGCUCACGCUUGAAUACAUUAGCAUGGAAUAAUGAAAUAGGACAUCGCAUUCUAUUUUGUUGGUUUCUAGGAUCGAUGUAAUGAUUAAUAGGGAUAGUUGGGGGCAUUAGUAUUCAAUUGUCAGAGGUGAAAUUCUUGGAUUUAUUGAAGACUAACUACUGCGAAAGCAUUUGCCAAGGAUGUUUUCAUUAAUCAAGAACGAAAGUUAGGGGAUCGAAGACGAUCAGAUACCGUCGUAGUCUUAACCAUAAACUAUGCCGACUAGGGAUCGGAUGAUGUUGAUUUUUAAUGUA